AGUGAACGCUGGCGGUAGGCCUAACACAUGCAAGUCGAACGGCAGCACAGUAAGAGCUUGCUCUUACGGGUGGCGAGUGGCGGACGGGUGAGGAAUACAUCGGAAUCUACUUUUUCGUGGGGGAUAACGUAGGGAAACUUACGCUAAUACCGCAUACGACCUACGGGUGAAAGCAGGGGAUCUUCGGACCUUGCGCGAUUGAAUGAGCCGAUGCCGGAUUAGCUAGUUGGCGGGGCAAAAGCCCACCAAGGCGCCGAGCCGGAGCUGGGCUGAGGGGCGGGUCAGCCAGACUGGAACUGAGACGCGGGCCAGACGCCUACGGGAGGCAGCAGUGGGGAAUAUUGGACAAUGGGCGCAAGCCUGAUCCAGCCAUACCGCGUGGGUGAAGAAGGCCUUCGGGUUGUAAAGCCCUUUUGUUGGGAAAGAAAAGCAGCAGGUUAAUACCCCGCUGUUCUGACGGUACCCAAAGAAUAAGCACCGGCUAACUUCGUG
rnacentral:rRNA from 1 species